CGCAGGGCCAUGAUGCUGCUGCUGACGUCCACACAGAACUGCACAAGCCAUGAGUUCUACUAGACUCCUCUGGGUGAGGAACAACCCUGAAAAGCAAGAACCCACUGACUUUGGGCCUGAUGUACAUUCAUCUGUGGAGCAUCACUGGUGGAACUGAGCAGGUCUGAUUCAGAGAACUCUCACCAUGUGCCCACCGAGAGAGCAGGAAGGAGAUGAGACAGGAACUAGCAUCAGAUGUGAAGCAAAAUAUAACCAUGGCUAUUUCUGAGCAUGCUGCGCUGAGAACUUUGAUCAUAAACAGUAGACACAUAAGAUCCACAGUUCAGUGAAUGAAAGCAGGCGUGUGUGUGACACUUCAGUGCUUGUAGUGGACAUUUAUAGACCACCAAAGUGAGAAAUAUAAUGAAAGUUCUACACCACAGUGAAGCUGAAUCAGUCGUUAGAUAUUAAUUGGUGUAAGUGACAGUAGUGAAGCUGCUAAUCAGGUUUAUAUUAAUGCACUGACUCGGUUCCUCGAAAGCCUGAUGUGGUGAAGUGUUCUGUAAAGUUUGGAAGGAGUCUCCAGCGUCAGUGCUCUGUAACGGUCACAUCUUCAGGGGUUUCCACUGUGUGCUUCUGUCUUAUUUAUUUAACUGUAGAAUGAACAUCUCUCAGUCAGGAGAACGUGCGAGUCGUACAUGAAGGAUCUUUCGGGGAACUCUUUCGCUUUGUGGUGAAACAACACCGCCAUCAUGUGCAGCUGAAGGAGAAACGCAGCUCACACAACAAGAAAUACAAAAGAAACCCAAGUGACGGCUUAUAAAAUUGCACAGAUGUAUUUGUGGUGUAUGAGACGGAGAAAAACAAAAACAGGACACACCCACAAAAAAUAAAGAAAUAUGGAUUCAA